rnacentral:rRNA from 1 species
AGUGAACGCUGGCGGCGUGCUUAACACAUGCAAGUCGAACGGAUGAAAUAAGCUUGCUUAUUUCGUUAGUGGCGCACGGGUGAGUAAUGUAUAGCUAACCUGCCCUUUAGUGGGGGACAACAGUUGGAAACGGCUGCUAAUACCCCAUACUCCUUCUUAUCAUAAGAUAAGUUGGGAAAGAUUGAUUGCUAAAGGAUGGGGCUUUAUUGUAUCAGCUAGUUGGUGGGGUAACGGCCUACCAAGGCGAUGACGCAUACCUGGUCUGAGAGGAUGAUCAGGCACACUGGAACUGAGACACGGUCCAGACUCCUACGGGAGGCAGCAGUGGGGAAUAUUGCACAAUGGGGGAAACCCUGAUGCAGCAACGCCGCGUGGAGGAUGACGCAUUUCGGUGUGUAAACUCCUUUUAUAAGGGAAGAUAAUGACGGUACCUUAUGAAUAAGCACCGGCUAACUCCGUGCCAGCAGCCGCGGUAA